UACGGGGGGUGCGAGCGUUGUCCGGAAUCACUGGGCGUAAAGGGCGCGUAGGUGGUUUGAUAAGGGUGUGGUGAAAGUCCGGGGCUCAACCCCGGAUCUGCCGUGCCGACUGUCAAACUCGAGGACUGUAGAGGCAGACGGAAUUCCGGGUGUAGCGGUGGAAUGCGUAGAGAUCCGGAGGAAGACCGGUGGCGAAGGCGGUCUGCUGGGCAGUUUCUGACACUGAGG
rnacentral:rRNA from 1 species